rnacentral:rRNA from 1 species
UACAGAGGUCUCAAGCGUUGUUCGGAUUCAUUGGGCGUAAAGCGCGCGCAGGUGGUUUCUUAAGUCUGAUGUGAAAGCCCACGGCUCAACCGUGGAGGGUCAUUGGAAACUGGGGAACUUGAGUGCAGAAGAGGAAAGUGGAAUUCCAAGUGUAGCGGUGAAAUGCGUAGAGAUUUGGAGGAACACCAGUGGCGAAGGCGACUUUCUGGUCUGUAACUGACACUGAGGCGCGAAAGCGUGGGGAGCGAACAGG